AGACCGGGGUCAUUAGGCUAUAGGGGUAAGUAGAUUAAUCGAAGCUACGUUGCAAACAAAUAGCGCGAGACUCGCGUAAACGUGUCUGAGCACGCAGCAGUGACUGCCGCUCAGUCUGUUGUGAUAUCGCGAGGCAGACGCAUCUUUCAAAAAAGUUACGCUACAAUUUAAAAAAAUCGAACACCAAAUCAUGAGGACGUACAAGCGAAAGACAGAUAAAGGAAAUAUUCUGAAGGACAUUAUGGAAUUUGCAUGUAAAGAAGUAAUUUUAGAAGGAAAAAGCAUUCGUUCUUCAGGAUUGAAAUAUAAUAUUCCAUAUAAAACCUUGCAUCGAUAUGUUACAAAAUUAAAAGCUACAGGAGAAGAUUCCAGUCAAGUAUCGAAUAUUCAAUUAACUCAUGUAGGUUAUAUCAAAAGUCGUCAAAUUUUGAAUGAUACGGAAGAAAUUGCUUUAGUGGAAUAUGUUAAAAAAGCAGCAGAUAUUUAUUAUGGUUUAACACCCAGAGAAGUAAGAAAAUUGGCUUAUCAAUUUGCAAUAAAAAAUGGAAGUAAAAAAAAAAUAAGAG